rnacentral:rRNA from 1 species
UACGUAGGGUGCGAGCGUUGUCCGGAAUUAUUGGGCGUAAAGAGCUCGUAGGCGGCUCGUCGCGUCGACCGUGAAAACCCGCGGCUUAACUGCGGGCUUGCGGUUGAUACGGGCGGGCUAGAGUCCGGAAGAGGAGAGUGGAAUUCCCGGUGUAGCGGUGAAAUGCGCAGAUAUCGGGAAGAACACCUAUGGCGAAGGCAGCUCUCUGGGACGGUACUGACGCUGAGACGCGAAAGCGUGGGGAGCGAACAGG